UAUAUAUAUAUAUAUAUAGUGGAAGGCCAAAACAAUUUAACUAUAAAUAGCCACAUUUCAGCGAAAUAAGGAAACCAAUAUUUACUUAAUUAUUCCCCCUCUGAAUUCUCUGAAAGAAAAAGUUACAUGGCCCGAGGAGAAAAUUAGAUGAACUGCUCAAGCAACAUAAACAAAAUUAAGAAGCCAACACAUCAUUUGAUGCUAACAUUUUUAUCUAACAAGAAAUUGGUGUCCCAGUCAUUAACAAGAUAGAUGACCUAAAAGCUUGCUCUCAAAUAUAAAAUUAUCCCACCAACUUACACAAGUAAAGAAUACCUAAUUUUCAUCCAUCUUCCAUCAACAAUACAUCAAUUGCAAUCAAAAUUUACUAACACAACUAACCACGAAUGUGCAUAGUAAACUCAUUUAUGAUGGAAAGAAUAACCAAGUAUUUAAAAUUGACCAUUGAUGCCAGUCAAUUCUAAAUUUGGAAUUUGUUCAUGACAAUGUCAUCCCCAACACAGGUCUCACAAUGAUCACAGCUCUUUCACUCAAGUAAGAACUAUAGCUUCUGUUGUAAGUUUCUCUAUCACAAAACCAUACUGUUUUCUUUGAUAAUAUUACCAUCAUGCCCUCCCACUAGACAUGCAUGACUAUACAAAAAAAGCCCAAAGGCUUAAAGCUGAUGACUUGUGCAAACUUACUGUAGUUUAUGAUUUUCUUAGCCAAUCCACAAUAUUAACAGUCCUCCCACUAUUAACUGAUCUAUAUAUGUCAUCAAAUUAUUUCUUCUACUCGCCCCAAAUUUUUUUCAUGAUCAAAAUCUUAUUAAACAAUCUAAUAAUUCAAACCAUCACACUUUAAUACUUCCAACCUCAAUUGGAAGUUAUGCUAGCCAAUUUGUAGAGAUUUUCUCUUUAAUUAUAUAUUUAUAUUAUUAUAUUAUACCAUAAAACUGCAACUAUCAUCCCUCUUCGCAUUCUGAACUUAUUUCUCAGUCAAUUUUUGCGUAUUUCAUAUCCAUGAUUCCAAGUCUAGGCAAAUUCCAAUAGUCCUCUUACCAAUUUUAACUGAUUCCUUUAAAAGUUCUUUCUACCAUCAAAUAUCUUGAGAUGGAGAGUCCCUUUCUGAGAUUCUCACAACAUUAUCUUGACAUGGUCCUCAUUAGUUUCCAUGCUUGUUGAAAUCUGAGCAGAGGCAGAAGUAACAGUUUCCACGUUCCAAUGCUCAUUUUUAGGAGGUCUUUCAUUGAGAACUGUACUAUCCCAAUAAAGUUCUGAUCUUUGAUUUAUUAGUAAAAAAAAAAUUUCCCCC
rnacentral:misc_RNA from 1 species